rnacentral:tRNA from 1 species
AAGGUAGCCGUACGAGAACGUGCGGCUGGAUCACCUCCUUUUUAAGGAGCAAACAUGCGUUUUAAGUCCACUUAAAACGAGGUGUUAAUGGUCGGUUCUUGAAUUGUAAUGUUUGGAUUGAGUUCAGCGGGGCGUUUACUUGUGUGUUGGAGACUAUAUCUCAUAAGGGUCGUGAGUUGUAUAAGCGGGCCUAUAGCUCAGCUAGUCAGAGCGCACCCUUGAUAAGGGUGAGGUCUGUGGUGCAACUCCACAUAGGCCCACCCAGCUGAGAGGAAAGGCGGCGACUGGUGAAAGAGAGGG